CUUUACACAACUUUCAGUCAGAAUAUUUUUUUAAAGAAAAUUGCAGAAGGGGCAGUCUUGGGUUUUAAUUUAGAUUAGAGGAGCAGAUUCCUUGCUGGCCUCAGAGAGAAGAGGUGCUCCUUGUCCUUCCUCCCUACCAAGAGUUUCCUGGGUCUCCCCCGAAGCCAAGAUGAAAGUUUUCAUCAUCCUGAUCUGCUCUUUCAUGCUGGUUACGUGUCGAGAAGAAUGUAUUGGGUCUACUUAUCCUCCUGAGUAUAAAGAUGGAAAACUGGUGGAGCAUAACACAUGUCCUGAUCUAAACGGGAGAAAGCAUCUCAUUGGGUCCACCUGGGACGAUGAUAAUGGCUUCCAUUGUGAGUGUCGUAGAGAUGGAAGUCAUUGUUGCAAAAGGGUUGAGGAACCUAUAGCAAUGCCUGCCAACGUUUAGGGCACCAGGGACCGGAGAGAAGUUUUCCAUGAACCAGAGGAUAUGGUGAGGUCCCCCAUCGUCCGGGAUGCAUUGCAAUGGCUAAUCCAGAAACAUGCGGAUAUGAUUUCUAUAAGGUUGAUGCCCCAUUACAGCGCUGUUAAGCUUGUUGGAUUUUCCUCUCUUCAUACGAGUGAACGUGAAUCAACCUUUUCUGUUUAAAUGAACCUGAAUAAAUCCCUCAUCUCAAUAA